UAGAUUCCUUUCUUGGUGUUCUUCCUCGC
rnacentral:piRNA from 1 species